CUUUGUAAAUUUUCGUUCUUCUAGAAAUUUUUGUACGUUCCUUUGUAUUUUCUAUACAUACCACUUCAAAAAUAUUCCUGUUGAUGCUGUGACAAAUUACCACAGCCCGAAUGACUUUAACAAAUCUAUUCUCUUACAGUUCUGGAGGCGAAAUGUGUAAAAUGGAUCCAUAGCGCCGUGCUCCGUCUGGAUAUGCCAGGAUCCUGUGAUUUUUCCUGUCCAGCCUGUUAACAUGAUGGCUCAUACUGCUGGAAUUUGAAACUGCUUUCUGUCCCCCAAAUAAACCCAUUUGGUCAUGGUGUACAA